CACAAGACAUAAAAGUACAUACAGCAACAAAAGAACGCUUAGAGAAUCGUGAGAGACCACAUAAACCGUGCCCUGAACAAGGAGGACAAAUGUGAGAAAAGUAUGUCUUUCUCUUUAUCUUUCUUCUUUCUUUCUUUCUUUCUUUCUCUAUCU
rnacentral:ribozyme from 13 species